GAUUUUUGAAUUUGUUUGAGUUGACUUUUGAUGCAAGUCGUUCUGUUGACUUUUGUGUGUUUCCCUUUGCUAUGAUUUGACUUCAAAUGUUCAUGAAAUGAUCAUAAUGCAUGAUUUGGAUGUGGGCCCAAUUGUGAUUGCUUUCUAAAUGGUUGACCUUGACUUUGGUUGACUUUUCCUUGCUGUUUUGACUUUUUCUUUCAUCCUUGACCCUAGGCUAGUCCUAGUGGUCUUCUGUG
rnacentral:lncRNA from 1 species